rnacentral:rRNA from 1 species
AUUUAUGAAUAAGCCCCGGCUAAUUACGUGCCNGCAGCCGCGGUAAUACGUAAGGGGCGAGCGUUGUUCGGGAUUAUUGGGCGUAAAGGGUGAGUAGGCGGAUAUGCAAGUCUAUGCGUAAAAUACCACAGCUCAACUGUGGAGCUAUGCUGGAAACUGCAUGACUAGAGUCUGAUAGGGGAAGUUAGAAUUCCUGGUGUAAGGGUGGAAUCUGUUGAUAUCAGGAAGAAUACCAGAGGCGAAGGCGAACUUCUAGGUCAAGACUGACGCUGAGUCACGAAAGCGUAGGGAGCAAACAGGAUUAGAUACCCUGGUAGUCUACGCUGUAAACGAUGCACACUUGGUGUUAAUUGAGAGAUUAGUACCGAAGCUAACGUGUUAAGUGUGCCGCCUGGGGAGUAUGCUCGCAAGAG